AGAGUUUGAUCCUGGCUCAGGAUGAACGCUAGCGGCAGGCUUAACACAUGCAAGUCGAGGGGUAACAGAGUAGCUUGCUACUGCUGACGACCGGCGCACGGGUGCGUAACGCGUAUACAAUCUACCUUAUACUGGGGUAUAGCCUUUAGAAAUGAAGAUUAACCCCCCAUAGUCUCUAAGAGUGGCAUCACAUUUAGAGUAAAGGUUACGGUAUAAGAUGAGUAUGCGUUCUAUUAGUUUGUUGGUGAGGUAACGGCUUACCAAGACUACGAUAGAUAGGGGCCCUGAGAGGGGGAUCCCCCACACUGGUACUGAGACACGGACCAGACUCCUACGGGAGGCAGCAGUGAGGAAUAUUGGACAAUGGAGGCAACUCUGAUCCAGCCAUGCCGCGUGUAGGAUGACUGCCCUAUGGGUUGUAAACUACUUUUAUACAGGAAGAAACACCUCUACGUGUAGAGGCUUGACGGUACUGUAAGAAUAAGGAUCGGCUAACUCCGUGCCAGCAGCCGCGGUAAUACGGAGGAUCCAAGCGUUAUCCGGAAUCAUUGGGUUUAAAGGGUCCGUAGGUGGAUAAUUAAGUCAGAGGUGAAAUCUUGCAGCUCAACUGUAAAAUUGCCUUUGAAACUGGUUAUCUUGAGUUAUUAUGAAGUAGUUAGAAUAUGUAGUGUAGCGGUGAAAUGCAUAGAUAUUACAUAGAAUACCAAUUGCGAAGGCAGAUUACUAAUAAUCAACUGACACUGAUGGACGAAAGCGUGGGUAGCGAACAGGAUUAGAUACCCUGGUAGUCCACGCCGUAAACGAUGGUUACUAGCUGUUUGGACUUCGGUCUGAGUGGCUAAGCGAAAGUGAUAAGUAACCCACCUGGGGAGUACGUUCGCAAGAAUGAAACUCAAAGGAAUUGACGGGGGCCCGCACAAGCGGUGGAGCAUGUGGUUUAAUUCGAUGAUACGCGAGGAACCUUACCAGGGCUUAAAUGUAAGUUGCAUUAGUUAGAGAUAGCUAUUUCUUCGGACCACUUACAAGGUGCUGCAUGGUUGUCGUCAGCUCGUGCCGUGAGGUGUCAGGUUAAGUCCUAUAACGAGCGCAACCCCUGUUGUUAGUUGCCAGCGAGUCAUGUCGGGAACUCUAACAAGACUGCCAGUGCAAACUGUGAGGAAGGUGGGGAUGACGUCAAAUCAUCACGGCCCUUACGUCCUGGGCUACACACGUGCUACAAUGGUAGGGACAGAGAGCAGCCACUGGGCGACCAGGAGCGAAUCUAUAAACCCUAUCACAGUUCGGAUCGGAGUCUGCAACUCGACUCCGUGAAGCUGGAAUCGCUAGUAAUCGGAUAUCAGCCAUGAUCCGGUGAAUACGUUCCCGGGCCUUGUACACACCGCCCGUCAAGCCAUGGAAGUUGGAAGUGCCUGAAGUCCGUCACCGCAAGGAGCGGCCUAGGGUAAAGUCGAUAACUAGGGCUAAGUCGUAACAAGGUAGCCGUACCGGAAGGUGCGGCUGGAACACCUCCUUUCU
rnacentral:rRNA from 1 species